rnacentral:rRNA from 1 species
GACGAACGCUGGCGGCGUGCUUAACACAUGCAAGUCGAACGGAAAGGCCUCUUUCGGGGGGUACUCGAGUGACGAACGGGUGAGUAACACGUGAGUAACCUGUCCUUGACUUUGGGAUAACUUCAGGAAACUGGGGCUAAUACCGGAUAGGAGCUCCUGCUGCAUGGUGGGGGUUGGAAAGUUUCGGCGGUUGGGGAUGGACUCGCGGCUUAUCAGCUUGUUGGUGGGGUAGUGGCUUACCAAGGCUUUGACGGGUAGCCGGCCUGAGAGGGUGACCGGCCACAUUGGGACUGAGAUACGGCCCAGACGCCUACGGGAGGCAGCAGUGGGGAAUAUUGCACAAUGGGUGGAAGCCUGAUGCAGCAACGCCGUGUGCGGGAUGACGGCCUUCGGGUUGUAAACCGCUUUCGCUCAUGACGAAGCUUUGUGUGACGGUAGUGGGUAAAGAAGCACCGGCUAACUACGUG